rnacentral:rRNA from 1 species
CCUACGGGAGGCAGCAGUGGGGAAUAUUGGGCAAUGGGCGAAAGCCUGACCCAGCGACGCCGCGUGCGGGAUGAAGGCCUUCGGGUUGUAAACCGCUUUCAGCAGGGAAGAAGCGAAAGUGACGGUACCUGAAGAAGAAGCACCGGCUAACUAUGUGCCAGCAGCCGCGGUAAUACAUAGGGUGCAAGCGUUGUCCGGAAUUAUUGGGCGUAAAGAGCUCGUAGGUGGUUCGUUACGUCGGAUGUGAAAACCUGAGGCUCAACCUCAGGCCUGCAUUCGA